CCUACGGGGGGCAGCAGUGAGGAAUAUUGGUCAAUGGACGAGAGUCUGAACCAGCCAAGUAGCGUGAAGGAUGACUGCCCUAUGGGUUGUAAACUUCUUUUAUAUGGGAAUAAAAUGUCCCACGUGUGGGAUUUUGUAUGUACCAUAUGAAUAAGGAUCGGCUAACUCCGUGCCAGCAGCCGCGGUAAUACGGAGGAUCCGAGCGUUAUCCGGAUUUAUUGGGUUUAAAGGGAGCGUAGGUGGAUUGUUAAGUCAGUUGUGAAAGUUUGCGGCUCAACCGCAAAAUUGCAGUUGAAACUGGCAGGCUUGAGUACAGUAGAGGUGGGCGGAAUGCGUGGUGUAGCGGUGAAAUGCUUAGAUAUCACGAAGAACUCCGAUUGCGAAGGCAGCUCACUGGACUGCAACUGACACUGAGGCUCGAAAGUGUGGGUAUCAAACAGGAUUAGAUACCCCUGUAGUC
rnacentral:rRNA from 1 species